UCGGGCACCGCUAAGCUCCGCUCCGCUUCAGUGGAAACGCAGCCUAACCAAUGAGGCAAAAGAUAACCGUGUAAACGUCCCCGUAUGCGCAGCUCAAAGUAUAGUUCAUAUCAUUGCGCCAUCCAUACAGAUGCUAUUUUAGAUAUCGCCUAAAAGCCUUAACGAAACACAGCCAGCCGCUUUAGAUAUAGUCUUUAGGUAAAGGUAAACACGCACAGGUAAUCAUGGUCGAGAAAGUAUUUUUGUAACGUCAAGUAGUGUUUUAUAAAAAAAUUCGUAGCUCGCUACCACUCCGAAGUGUGGUAGUAUCGAAAUCGUAGAAUUUUUGAAUGUUUAAAAAAAUAUAGAGUAUAGUGGAAAUUUUUAACUUAAUUCCUAUCGCCUUAUUAUCUUUUAUGUCAAAGUCAUCCAAACCCUCCGAAGAAAAAUCGGCCUUCGCCUCUGGUAUACAAUUUUUGUACGAGGUCUUUAAAAUGGUUCUAAAAUGGUAACAAACAUAGAGGUUCAAAAUUAUUGUGUUUUAUUCUCCACACUUGUACCUACUAAUAUUGUAAUUUAUUUUUUAAUUAAACAUAAUGUAUAGCUUACAGCUAUAAAGCUGUAUAUUGCUUCUAGAAAAAUUUUAGUAGAUACUUAUUAUUAUCUUUCACUUCUCUAGUCUACAGGGUGCUACAAAACGCGCACGGUUGCAAGCUAAUUGCAAGAAAAUGAUAGUAACACUGAUGGAUAGGAUCAUAAAGGCUCGCACACAGGCGCGUUAUUAAUAUCGCAAUAACGCAUGCAUUAUUGCGAUAUCUGUUUUCAGUACAUUUUGUAUUAGGAUUUAGGAUGGUCAAUGGUCAUGUAGUUACACACUGCUGCGAUAAUAACGCCGCAAUGGAAGUAUAAUAUCGCAAUAACGCAAUUUUCUUGCAUACCUGAGAGAGAUGGUAUAAUAGUGCCGUCGCGGCGCGGCGCUCUCUCUUAAGAAUUAACAGACGAUUAAAACGCAGGUGUGUGCAAGGAAUCGGGACGCAUUAUCGCAAUACCGCAUGCGUUUUUAUCGACCGAUAAUAAUGCGCCUGUGUGCGGAAGCCUAAACAGUUACUUAUAUCUCCAAGUUUUAAGGAGACCACAUUGCCCACAUAAUUUUAGUUGGCCCUUUAAAUUUUUUUUCUGAAAUAGAAGCGAUGGCACAUGCCACGAAAAUCUAUUCCUAGUUAUUUCUUAUGGAUAAAAUUCCUCUAUAAAUUUACGUAUUUUUGUUUUAAUUUAGUCAUUAGGUAUCUUAUUUAAAGUUAACAAACAUCACGUUUACCAAUUAUUAACCAAAACAUUAUUGUUCCCAUUUUUAUAAAUUUUAUAUAAAAUGUUGUGCCCCUAAAUUGUUUUAGGCUAAUAUAUACGAUGUUUUAAUAGUUAUUAUGAUUACGGUUGUAACUCGGUUAAUUUAAUUCUAGAUUUGUUGCAUUAUUUAGGUACAUUAAUUAUUAGUAUACCCCAACUAACUGUAAAUUUUAAUAUGCCAAAAACUUCGCAGAAUCGGGAAGUUUUUUAUUAAAAUAUGUUAUCUAGGUGAACACUUUUUUCAAUUUCAAUUAAUGUCAAGCCUAAUACGCCUAACUAGAUACAUAAAUGAGCUAGUUUGGCCUAAUUCAAGAUAAAAG